GUCAAUGAAGGUGACAUAAGUGUUCGACUUUGAACGGCGUCCUUGAAUCGGUCACAUCUGACGACAUGAAUCGAACGCGGUAGAACUUAACCAUGGAGCCAUAACGCAACACUCUGAUAUCGUGAGGCCAAAAAGUUCAUUUAGAAACCUGUACAUGCUCGAUAAUACGUAUGUACAUGUUUGCUCCAGGUCGAUAUCAACUAUAUUGUUCGAUUAGAAACGGCGUCCUUCAAUCAGUCAUAUCGAGCGACAUGAAUUGUUAUACGCCGUGAAUUCGCGAACAUGAUAGACCUCGGGAGUCUACGGAUGUUUCAUGGAUUCGUCGUGUCGUUGCUGGAAGGUUUCGGUGUUGGGGCAACGUAAUGACUCCAUCUGAAAGAAGAAAAUACGCAUGCCGUUUGACAAGUUCCGGGGGACAACUUAUCAGCCAAUUGAGCGUCAGCUAAUUCCUCAACGACUAUAAUAUCCUCGUUUGGCGAUUCAGUUGCGAGGGAUGCGGCCACCUAUGAAGGAUAUUAAGAGAAAUCGAUCUAAAUUUUCCAAAUCUUCAGCACUCCAUUCUGGUUCGUCUUCAUUCCUGGCGUAAAGACGAUCGAACAAAUCCGGGUAUUUCGAUAC
rnacentral:lncRNA from 1 species